rnacentral:rRNA from 1 species
GAUGAACGCUGGCGGCGUGCCUAAUACAUGCAAGUCGAGCGAACGGACGAGAAGCUUGCUUCUCUGAUGUUAGCGGCGGACGGGUGAGUAACACGUGGAUAACCUACCUAUAAGACUGGGAUAACUUCGGGAAACCGGAGCUAAUACCGGAUGAUAUUUUGAACCGCAUGGUUCAAAAGUGAAAGACGGUCUUGCUGUCACUUAUAGAUGGAUCCGCGCUGCAUUAGCUAGUUGGUAAGGUAACGGCUUACCAAGGCAACGAUGCAUAGCCGACCUGAGAGGGUGAUCGGCCACACUGGAACUGAUACACGGUCCAGACUUCUACGGGAGGCAGCAGUAGGGAAUCUUCCGCAAUGGGCGAAAGCCUGACGGAGCAACGCCGCGUGAGUGAUGAAGGUCUUCGGAUCGUAAAACUCUGUUAUUAGGGAAGAACAUAUGUGUAAGUAACUGUGCACAUCUUGACGGUACCUAAUCAGAAAGCCACGGCUAACUACGUG